UAGCUCAGUGGUAGAGCGUCCGGCUGUUAACCGGAAGAUCGCAGGUUCGAAUCCUG
rnacentral:tRNA from 1 species